GCGCGUAAAUUGCCCGAAUCCUGACACAGGGAGGUAGUGACAAGAAAUAACAAUACAGGGCUACUUCUAGUCUUGUAAUUGGAAUGAGUACAACUUACAUCUCUUCACGAGGAUCAAUUGGAGGGCAAGUCUGGUGCCAGCAGCCGCGGUAAUUCCAGCUCCAAUAGCGUAUAUUAAAGUUGUUGCAGUUAAAAAGCUCGUAGUCGGAUUUCGGGUCGGGCCGAGCGGUCUGCCGAUGGGUAUGCACUGUUCGGCGCGGCCUUCUUUCCGGAGACCGCGGCUACUCUUAACUGAGCGGGCGUGGGAGACGGAUCGUUUACUUUGAAAAAAUCAGAGUGUUUCAAGCAGGCAGCUCGCUCUUGCAUGGAUUAGCAUGGGAUAAUGAAAUAGGACUCUGGUGCUAUUUUGUUGGUUUCGAACAUCGGAGUAAUGAUUAACAGGGACAGUCAGGGGCACUCGUAUUCC
rnacentral:rRNA from 1 species